rnacentral:rRNA from 1 species
CAGUAGCCGCGGUAAUACAGAGGGUGCAAGCGUUAAUCGGAAUUACUGGGCGUAAAGGGCGCGUAGGUGGUUGCGUAAGUGAGAUGUGAAAUCCCCGGGCUUAACCUGGGACGUGCAUCUUAUACUGCGUAACUGGAGUGCAAGAGAGGGUAGUGGAAUUUCCGGUGUAGCGGUGAAAUGCGCAGAUAUCGGAAGGAACACCAGUGGCGAAGGCGGCAACCUGGUCCUUGACUGACGCUGAGGCGCGAAAGCGUGGGGAGCAAACAGGAUUAGAUACCCCCGUAGUCCCUGUCUCUUAUAC